GCCUUAUAUGCAGCUCGGUCGCCAUGGGGAUGGGCCGGGGCCUUUUCCUGUUGGUCCAGACCCCGCUGUCUGCCCAGAGAAGCCGCGACACGAGAGUGGUGAUUGGUGCAGGCGACAUGGUAUGAGGCCUGGCCUUGAACAGCUGAGCCAUCUCUCCAGCCCCCACUGAAGAGAUUUCUUAGCAGACAAAUGCCAUUUACCUUCAGGAAGAAGAGUUGGAGCCCAGGGUUCCGGAAGAUUGGGAGCUCAGAUCAGCCUGGGUGAGGAAUUUAUUUUGCCAUCUCCUCCCAAGAGAUGAAAGCAGCUGGUGGAGAGGAGGAGGAACAGUUGGGCGUGGUGACGCGCGCCUUUAAUCCCAGCGCUCCGGAGGCAGGCGGAUCCGUCUCUCAAUUGCUUGCCAACCUGCUCCACAUACCGAGUUCCAAGCCAGCCAGUUACAUGGCGAGACCCUGACUCAAACAAACAAACCCAGUUUCUCAUAGACACACAGUGCGUUCGAUUACUGUUAUUCUCGCCCUCUAUUUCCUUCCCGCCCAACCCCCUCUUUCCCAUGCUCUCGUCUAUUAGUUCUGUCUUGGGGCCCGCUGAGUUAGCCAGGGCUGCUUUUGCGACCACAAACCGUUGGCUCCUUUUCAUCGGAACACGCCCGGGUACACAGCUGAAGACAAAGCCUGCCCCUCCCCCAGCGGGCAUCAGCGUGGCUCAGAGUUGGGCUGGGAAGUCUGGCCGCGAGGGCCUUCCCGGAUCUGCGAGGACUGCUGCCAGCCCUCAGCUGCAAGUGUCCUUGACAGCGCCCAUCUGCGGGCCUCCAUUCCCAGGAUCACUAGAAGUAAAACGAAGAGACGGACGAUUCUUAAAACCAGCAGUUGCCGUGAGCGGACGGCACCAAGGAGAGCGUGGUCGGUCAGUUAGUGUGAAAGACAGGGUUCUGCUCCAGAAGGCACCUGCCGCUUAAUGGGAGGCAACGCAUUGGCCCAUCCUGGAGGGUUCCCGGCAACCGGGCAGGCUCAAGAGCAGAUGCCAACCCGACAUCUUCCUGCGGCUUCAGCCACGGGGGGAACGGUGGUACCACCGCCCUCCUCUCUUCCAGUGGCUGGAGAUGACGUGUUCUAAGGAGAGAGAGGAGCGCAGGGGCUCCCGUCAAAUGAGUGAAGAGAAAACGGAAGUGGGGAGAGGAGGCGGGACUCCUCACAGCAACCCCACCGCCACCUUCCUGGAAUAAAAAGGACAGGCAGAAAGGAUCGCCCCGCAUUUAA